rnacentral:misc_RNA from 1 species
UCCGGCUUGCCACCGGCAGUCCUCCCAGAGUCCCCGACAUAACUCGCUGGCAACAUAGGACGGGGGUUGCGCUCGUUGCGGGACUUAACCCAACAUCUCACGACACGAGCUGACGACAGCCAUGCAGCACCUGUGCUGGAGCUCCGAAGAGGGGCCGAUGUUUCCACCGGCUUUCCCCAGCAUGUCAAGCCUAGGUAAGGUUCUGCGCGUUGCGUCGAAUUAAACCACAUGCUCCGCUGCUUGUGCGGGCCCCCGUCAAUUCCUUUGAGUUUCAGCCUUGCGGCCGUACUCCCCAGGCGGGGCACUUAUCGCGUUAGCUGCGGCACCGAAGGGGUCGCUCCCCCCGGCACCUAGUGCCCAUCGUUUACGGCGUGGACUAC